rnacentral:rRNA from 1 species
GACCCUAUAGAAUUUUAUAUUUUUAUUUAGAGGGGUAUUAGUAUUUAAAAUUCUUUAAAAAAAAAAUAUUUAGUUGGGGUGAUUGAAAAAUUAAAUUAACUUUUUUUGUAUAAAAACACGAAUAAGUGAGUAUAUGAUCCUAAAUUUUAGAUUAUAAGAUAAAAUUACCUUAGGGAUAACAGCGUAAUAUUUUUUAAGAGUUCUAAUCGAAAAAAAUGUUUGCGACCUCGAUGUUGGAUUAAAAUUAAGUUUUGGUGUAGGAGCUAAAUGAUUAGGUCUGUUCGACCUUUAAAAUUUUACAUGAUCUGA